rnacentral:rRNA from 1 species
AUGCUUGUUGCAACAAAGAAGCAUGUUCUUUAUGAUUUGGUCUACUUACUCAUCAAAUUGAUAUUGAUUUUACCGGUGGCGACAACGAGUGUUGAAAAAGUAUUUUCAGCAAUGAAUCUAGUGGAAAAUAAGUUGAGGACUACUAUGAGUGAUGAUCGCUUGAAUGAUUGCUUGGUGACAUUUAUUGAACGGGAUGUGUUCAUGGAAGUAAGCGAAGAUGAAUAG